rnacentral:rRNA from 1 species
ACUAAGCGUACACGGUGGAUGCCCUGGCAGUCAGAGGCGAUGAAGGACGUGCUAAUCUGCGAUAAGCGUCGGUGAGGUGAUAUGAACCGUUAUAACCGGCGAUUUCCGAAUGGGGAAACCCAGUGUGUUUCGACACACUAUCAUUAACUGAAUCCAUAGGUUAAUGAGGCGAACCGGGGGAACUGAAACAUCUAAGUACCCCGAGGAAAAGAAAUCAACCGAGAUUCCCCCAGUAGCGGCGAGCGAACGGGGAGGAGCCCAGAGCCUGAAUCAGUGUGUGUGUUAGUGGAAGCGUCUGGAAAGGCGUGCGAUACAGGGUGACAGCCCCGUACACAAAAAUGCACAUAUUGUGAGCUCGAUGAGUAGGGCGGGACACGUGGUAUCCUGUCUGAAUAUGGGGGGACCAUCCUCCAAGGCUAAAUACUCCUGACUGACCGAUAGUGAACCAGUACCGUGAGGGAAAGGCGAAAAGAACCCCGGCGAGGGGAGUGAAAAAGAACCUGAAACCGUGUACGUACAAGCAGUGGGAGCCUCUUAAUGGGGUGACUGCGUACCUUUUGUAUAAUGGGUCAGCGACUUAUAUUCUGUAGCAAGGUUAACCGAAUAGGGGAGCCGAAGGGAAACCGAGUCUUAACUGGGCGUUAAGUUGCAGGGUAUAGACCCGAAACCCGGUGAUCUAGCCAUGGGCAGGUUGAAGGUUGGGUAACACUAACUGGAGGACCGAACCGACUAAUGUUGAAAAAUUAGCGGAUGACUUGUGGCUGGGGGUGAAAGGCCAAUCAAACCGGGAGAUAGCUGGUUCUCCCCGAAAGCUAUUUAGGUAGCGCCUCGUGAAUUCAUCUCCGGGGGUAGAGCACUGUUUCGGCAAGGGGGUCAUCCCGACUUACCAACCCGAUGCAAACUGCGAAUACCGGAGAAUGUUAUCACGGGAGACACACGGCGGGUGCUAACGUCCGUCGUGAAGAGGGAAACAACCCAGACCGCCAGCUAAGGUCCCAAAGUCAUGGUUAAGUGGGAAACGAUGUGGGAAGGCCCAGACAGCCAGGAUGUUGGCUUAGAAGCAGCCAUCAUUUAAAGAAAGCGUAAUAGCUCACUGGUCGAGUCGGCCUGCGCGGAAGAUGUAACGGGGCUAAACCAUGCACCGAAGCUGCGGCAGCGACACUAUGUGUUGUUGGGUAGGGGAGCGUUCUGUAAGCCUGUGAAGGUGGCCUGUGAGGGUUGCUGGAGGUAUCAGAAGUGCGAAUGCUGACAUAAGUAACGAUAAAGCGGGUGAAAAGCCCGCUCGCCGGAAGACCAAGGGUUCCUGUCCAACGUUAAUCGGGGCAGGGUGAGUCGACCCCUAAGGCGAGGCCGAAAGGCGUAGUCGAUGGGAAACAGGUUAAUAUUCCUGUACUUGGUGUUACUGCGAAGGGGGGACGGAGAAGGCUAUGUUGGCCGGGCGACGGUUGUCCCGGUUUAAGCGUGUAGGCUGGUUUUCCAGGCAAAUCCGGAAAACCAAGGCUGAGGCGUGAUGACGAGGCACUACGGUGCUGAAGCGACAAAUGCCCUGCUUCCAGGAAAAGCCUCUAAGCAUCAGGUAACAUCAAAUCGUACCCCAAACCGACACAGGUGGUCAGGUAGAGAAUACCAAGGCGCUUGAGAGAACUCGGGUGAAGGAACUAGGCAAAAUGGUGCCGUAACUUCGGGAGAAGGCACGCUGAUAUGUAGGUGAAGCGACUUGCUCGUGGAGCUGAAAUCAGUCGAAGAUACCAGCUGGCUGCAACUGUUUAUUAAAAACACAGCACUGUGCAAACACGAAAGUGGACGUAUACGGUGUGACGCCUGCCCGGUGCCGGAAGGUUAAUUGAUGGGGUUAGCGGUAACGCGAAGCUCUUGAUCGAAGCCCCGGUAAACGGCGGCCGUAACUAUAACGGUCCUAAGGUAGCGAAAUUCCUUGUCGGGUAAGUUCCGACCUGCACGAAUGGCGUAAUGAUGGCCAGGCUGUCUCCACCCGGGACUCAGUGAAAUUGAACUCGCUGUGAAGAUGCAGUGUACCCGCGGCAAGACGGAAAGACCCCGUGAACCUUUACUAUAGCUUGACACUGAACAUUGAGCCUUGAUGUGUAGGAUAGGUGGGAGGCUUUGAAGUGUGGACGCCAGUCUGCAUGGAGCCGACCUUGAAAUACCACCCUUUAAUGUUUGAUGUUCUAACGUUGGCCCGUAAUCCGGGUUGCGGACAGUGUCUGGUGGGUAGUUUGACUGGGGCGGUCUCCUCCUAAAGAGUAACGGAGGAGCACGAAGGUUGGCUAAUCCUGGUCGGACAUCAGGAGGUUAGUGCAAUGGCAUAAGCCAGCUUGACUGCGAGCGUGACGGCGCGAGCAGGUGCGAAAGCAGGUCAUAGUGAUCCGGUGGUUCUGAAUGGAAGGGCCAUCGCUCAACGGAUAAAAGGUACUCCGGGGAUAACAGGCUGAUACCGCCCAAGAGUUCAUAUCGACGGCGGUGUUUGGCACCUCGAUGUCGGCUCAUCACAUCCUGGGGCUGAAGUAGGUCCCAAGGGUAUGGCUGUUCGCCAUUUAAAGUGGUACGCGAGCUGGGUUUAGAACGUCGUGAGACAGUUCGGUCCCUAUCUGCCGUGGGCGCUGGAGAACUGAGGGGGGCUGCUCCUAGUACGAGAGGACCGGAGUGGACGCAUCACUGGUGUUCGGGUUGUCAUGCCAAUGGCACUGCCCGGUAGCUAAAUGCGGAAGAGAUAAGUGCUGAAAGCAUCUAAGCACGAAACUUGCCCCGAGAUGAGUUCUCCCUGAGACUUAGAGUCUCCUGAAGGAACGUUGAAGACGACGACGUUGAUAGGCCGGGUGUGUAAGCGCAGCGAUGCGUUGAGCUAACCGGUACUAAUGAACCGUGAGGCUUAACC